UUCUGGCUUAUUCCUGUAGAGUGCUGAUUAAUCACCCACACCAUCUUUUCUCUUUUCACAACAACAAUUUUAGGUCACUGUCACCAGGCAAAAGCAAAGAACUGAUCAGCUCUAAAUCUAUGCAGUCUAAGUCCAGACAUUAUAGCAAUGCCAGUGAGUGCAUAUAAUUACAGGCUACUGCAAAGAUUUGCAUAAAUUAUAUUAUAAUUAUAUACAAGCUAUAAAGUGGAUGUGCAUAUGAGCAUGACCUCCUAUAAACUACUGCAUAAUUAUUAUAGUCUUCUUAAGUUACAGCUCUCCCUCCUCAUGUACGUAGGGCAAGCGUCCGAUAGCUCAGAGCAAGGUUGUCACUCCUAUUGGUGGACAUGCUCAACACCAUCCUGCAAGAGACCAUCACACUCUCCAAGGGUGAUCGAGUAGCAAGUGCCCGAGCUGCCAUUAUUGUCUUUGUUCUCUGUAUGAUUAUAUUAUUUGGCCCGUUAACAAUUGGCCAUUAUGUCUAUCUCUGCAUAACAAGAAAAAAUCUAGCCUCGAAUCCACGCCGAUUAAAAUACGGCCUGCAGGGGUGUUAGUGCACAUGCGCUGCACGAUUACCCAGAAUCUGGGUAAUCGUGCAUGCCAGUAAAACUUUUAGUAAAUGCUAGCUGUAAUACUUGGAAUUUGUUCCGUGUUACUAUCAAUGGCGUCGACUGAGUUUUGUGAAGCUGUGGCUUAUGCUCUUCGUUGCGUUGGUCUAAAGGAUCUCACACUGAAGCCAAAGCAAAAGGAGGCUCUCAUCCACCUGUAUGACGAUCAUGAUGUCUUUGUUUGGUUCCCCACGGGCUAUGGCAAGUCUUUGUGCUUCCAACUGCUCACUGAAGCAGACAAGCUCUAGCUCUACAAGAGUUGAGAGAAGUGUUGUGCUGGUGCUGUCACCACUAGUGUCUCUGAUAAUAGACCAGGUUUCAGGCCUCCAGAAGAUCAAGAAGGGUGUCUCUGCUGUUAUAAUUAUUGUCUGGCAACAAAGAUGUUGAGAAGGACCUCCUUGCUAGUGUGAGUGACGUGUCCGAGGGUCGGUUCUCUCUCCUCUAUAGUGCUCCCGAGGCACUCCUUGGCAGAGAAGCGUAGAAGCAGCUCUUGGUCCAACGUCCCCUCUGUGACUCUGUAGUGGCAGUCGCUGUUGACGAAGCACACUGUGCGUAUAAGUGGUACAGAGAUCUACCGUUGGGUUGCUGAGUACUGGCAGUCUCAACAGAAGGUGCUUGAGUAUAACGUUGCUUCGAUCCCUCAGCGGCACGGCACGUCUUGUUGAUAUGAAGCAGUGACUAACAAAAUUAAUUAACAGUAAUUUUUACUCUCUUGUUUUUAUAUUACUCUUGUCCUGGACGGGGAAACAGAGUCGCCUUCCAGCGGCUCCAACGGUCUGACGCUUAGCUAAUGGUGGUCUUGCUACGUGUACGUGUGUGUGUGUGUGGGAGAAACCCCUACCCCACUAGUGUCUUUGGAUAUCUUUCUCGGAGCCGAUUACUCGUCGGCUGCCAGUGACACUUGUGAGAGGCCUGGGCAGCCAUCUCUAGCUCUCUGUUGUUUUAAUGUAUUUUUCCUAGAACCAUGCGGUUUAACAUAUUCUCAUUUUGUUUAUUUUCCGUUUUAUUAUCAACAAUAAAUU